UACGAGGGGGCAAGCGUUGUUCGGAAUUAUUGGGCGUAAAGGGCGCGUAGGCGGUGCGGUAAGUCACCUGUGAAAUCUCUGGGCUCAACUCAGAGUCUGCAGGCGAAACUGCCGUGCUGGAGUAUGGGAGAGGUGCGUGGAAUUCCCGGUGUAGCGGUGAAAUGCGUAGAUAUUGGGAAGAACACCGGUGGCGAAGGCGGCCAUCUGGACCGUAUCUGACGCUGAGGCGCGAAAGCGUGGGGAGCAAACAGG
rnacentral:rRNA from 1 species